GGUCCCAGUCUCGAACUGGUGUCACUGGGAGAGCCCCAGUCCCAAACUGGGAGGGUCUGAGGUUCAAACUGGGAGCACUGGGAGGGUCCCAGUCCCAAACUGGGAGGGUCCAAGGCUCAAACUGGGAGCACUGGGAGGGUCCCAGUCCCAAACUGGGAGCACUGGGAAGGUCUCAGUCCCAAACUGGGAGCGUCCCAGUCCCAAACUGGGAGCACUGGAGGGUCCCAAUCCCAGACUGGGAGCACUGGGAGGGUCCCAGUCCCAGACUGGUGUCACUGGGGUGUCACUGGGAGGGUCCCAGUCUCAAACUGGGAGGGUGCCAGGUUCAAACUGGGAGCACUGGGAGGGUUCCAGUCCCAAACUGGGAGGGUCCAAGGUUCAAACUGGGAGAGUCCCAGUCCCAGACUGGUGUCACAGGGGUGUCACUGGUGUCACUGGUCCGUUACUGGUGUCACUGGUGCUGUCCCUGGCUCUGUCCAUGGCUCUGUUACUGGUGUUACUGGUGUCACUGGUGUGUCACUGGUGUUACUGGUGUUACUGGUGUCACUGGUCCGUUACUGGUGUCACUGGUGCUGUCCCUGUCCCUAUCCCUGUCCCUGGUGUCAACUGGUGUCACUGGUGUCACUGGUCCGUUACUGGUGUCACUGGUGCUGUCCCUGCUGUCCCUGUCCCUGGUGUCACUGGUGCCGUUACUGGUCCGUUACUGGUGUUACUGGUCCGUUACUGGUGUCACUGGUGCUGUCCCUGU
rnacentral:lncRNA from 1 species